GAGGUGAAUAGUCUCUCGUCACAGAGUGAAGUGAAAUGGCCGCUGGAGCAGUGAUGCGUGUCAGUUGCAGUUCUGAAGUUAAGAAAGGUUAAACGAGAAGAUAAGCUGAUUCAUCUGACGGAAACUGCAUAAAACAGAUUUUCCUUGAUUCAUCUGAGGUUAUUUCUAAUCGUUAUCAUUUUAUUCUUGGUUGGGUUUUCUUUUCCUCCACUCUUUUCUAUGUUUUGUUUCUUCUCUGUCCUUCCAUAUCUCUCUUUGAUAUUGAAUGAGGAGUUUCUUGGAGUUCUGAGUUAGAACUGUUUCUGCCAUCAACGAGGAGUGCUCAACAUUGGUGGAAACUGGCGGGCCAACCUGGUUUUUCUUGAGCUUGGACAACGUUUCAUGUUUCAUCGAAGUGGUAGGACCACACGUACUCAUUUUUUCCUUCCCUGGAUACUAUCAAAACUGUGAACAAGAACUGUUUUUUUUCUUUCCCUUUUCAAUCUCGGGAG